rnacentral:lncRNA from 1 species
CUCCCAUUUCCGGAAGCCUGGCGCAAGGUUGGUCUGCAGGUGGCCUCCAGGUGCAAAGUGGGAAGUGUGAGUCCUCAGUCUUGGGCUAUUCGGCCACGUGCCUGCCGGACAUGGGACGCUGGAGGGUCAGCAGCGUGGAGUCCUGGCCUUUUGCGUCCACGGGUGGGAAAUUGGCCAUUGCCACGGCGGGAACUGGGACUCAGGCUGCCCCCCGGCCGUUUCUCAUCCGUCCACCGGACUCGUGGGCGCUCGCACUGGCGCUGAUGUAGUUUCCUGACCUCUGACCCGUAUUGUCUCCAGAUUAAAGGUACGACAUUUGGAGGCCCCAGCGAGAAACGUCACCGGGAGAAACGUCACCGGGCGAGAGCCGGGCCCGCUGUGUGCUCCCCCGGAAGGACAGCCAGCUUGUAGGGGGGAGUGCCACCUGAAAAAAAAAUUUCCAGGUCCCCAAAGGGUGACCGUCUUCCGGAGGACAGCGGAUCGACUACCAUGUGGGUGCCCACAAAAAUUCCACCUCUGAGUCCUCAACUGCUGACCCCGGGGUCAGAGUCUCACUCUGUUUCCCAGGCUGGAGUUCUGUGGCACCGUGUUGGCUCACUGCAACCUCCGUCUCCUGGGUUCAAGCAAUUCUCUUGCCUCAGCCUCCAGAGUAGCUGGGAUUACAGGUGCCCACCACCACACCCGGCUAAUUUUUUUAUAUUUUUAGUAGACACGGGGUUUCACCAUGUUGGCCAGGCCGGUCUUGAACUUGUGACGUCAGGUGAUGCACCCGCCUUGGCCUCCCAAAGUGCUGGGAUUACAGGUCCAGAUUUUGAACAAAUCUCGCUAGAGAUUGAACAGAGCUGCGCCUGGAUCCCGCCACAGUGAGGAGACCUGAAGACCAGAGAAAACACAGCAAACGGAGUCUUGCUCUGUUGUCCAGGCUGGAGUGUAGUGUGGCGAUCUCGGCUCCCUGCAAGAAUCUGCCUCCCAGAUUCACGCCAUUUUCCCACCUCAGCCCCUGGAGUAGCUGGAAGUACAGGCUCCCGCCACCACGCCUGGCUAAUUUUGUUUUUGUAUUUUUAGUAGAGACGGGGUUUCACUGUGUUAGGUAGGAUGGUCUCGAUCUCCUGACCUCAUGAUCCAUCCGCCUUGGCCUCUCAAAGUGCUGGGAUUACAGGCAUGAGCCACCGCACCUGGCUGUUUUUUCAUUUCUAUUAUGAUUUGUUCUGUGGAAUGUCAGUGACUUAGCGGUGUUUUUCACAUGUUUAUAAAGCUGAAUAGUUCUGUAUGUCAGCUCAGCACCCCUAGUGUCAGUCAUGCUACUCUCCUGCUGUGCAUAGAUGGGGGCCUGUCCACACCCAAAUCUCCUGGGUUCCCGCUGUCCGCACCUGAAGGUACCCACCAGAUGUGUCUGUCACUGCCCUCCAUCCACCUUUCUUGUGGUUCUCAUGUUUCUGCCUCCCUAGAGACCAUUUCUCUCUACAGCAGUAGUUUCCAAUAGAAAUACAAUGCCAGACACAUACGUCAUUUUAGAUUUUCUAGUAGUCACUUUAGAAAAGUGAAAAAGAGGCCAGCUGCAGUGGCUCACACCUGUAAUCCCAGCACUUUGGAAGGCUGAGGUGGGUGGAUCACGAGGUCAGGAGAUCGAGACCAUCCUGGCCAACAUGGUGAAACCCCCUCUCUACUAAAAAUACAAAAAAUUAGCUGGGCGUGGUGGCAGGCGCCUGUAGUCCCAGCUACUCGAGAGGCUGAGGCAGGAGAAUGGCGUGAACCCGGUAGGCAGAGCUUGCAGUGAGCCGAGAUAGCGCCACUGCACUCCAGCCUGGGCGACAGAGGGAGACUCCAUCUCAAAAAAAAAAAAAAGGUUACAAAGAAACAGGUGAAAUUAGUUUUAUUUCACCUAAAAUGUUAGCAUUAUCCAAAAUAUCACUUCAACAUCUUAUCAAAAUAAAAAUUAUUAAUGAGAUAGCUUACAGUCUUUCUUUUCUUUGAGACAGGGUCUUGCUUUGUGGUCCAGGCUGGAAUGCAGUGGCACCAGCAUAGCUCAUUGCAGUUUCAGACUCCUGGGCUUGAGAUCCUCCUGCCUCAGUCUUCCUAGUAUUCGGACUACAGGCACACACCACCAUGCCACGCUAGUUUUUUUUUUUUUUUAAAGACAGGGUCUCACUCUGUCAGCCGGGCUGGAGUGCAGUGGCACAAUCUCGGCUCACUGCAGCCUCGAUCUCCGGGGCUGAAAUGAUCCUCCCACCUCAGCCUCCCAAGUAGCUGGGACCAAAAACAUGUGCCACCACGCCUGAAUAAUUUUUGUAUUUUUUUGUUAAGACAGGGUUUCGGCAUGUUGUCCAGGCUGGUCUUGAACUCCAGAGCUGAAGUGAUCCACCCACCUUGGCUUCCCAAAGUGUUGGGAUUACAGGCAUGAGCCACUGCACUCGGCCUAAUUUUUUUUUUUUCUGAAGAGAUGAGGUCUUGCUAUGUUGCCCAGUCCAGUCUCAAACUUCUGGCUCAAGCAGUCCUCCCGCCUUGGCCUUCCAAAGUGCUGGGAUUACAGAUGUGAGCCACCACACUGGCCCAUUCUUUCUUUUAUACUGAGUAUUCAGAAUUUUUUUAAAAUGUGUUUUCCACUUACAGCAUUUCUCAGGUUGGACUAGCCAUCUUUCAAGUGCUCAGCAGCCACAUGUGGCAAGUGGCUGCCUUAUUGGACAGCACAGCUCUGGAGGGUGAUUUUAUGUACAUCCCCACUGCUCUCUCUGCCUCCUUUAUUCCCAUCUACCCCACACCCCUGCAGUCUGUGACUAUCGUGUCCCUCUCUCCUCUCUUUCUGUCUCUUGUAAUUCUUUAAUAUGGAGAAUUAUUUCCAAUUCCUUAACAUCCUGCGCUGAUUUUUUUCUGUCUUACAUUCAAGGGUCACAGUUUUCCUCUCACCCUCAUUUCAGUCUUUUCCCAUAACACGUGACGUGCCUUUUUGUCUUGGUUGGGUAUUUAUUUGCAAUACAAGAAUGAUUGUUUUCUUUGAUACAUUAGUGACUUACAUAGUUUUCAUGUUUUUUGAGUACCUCUUUCUUGACAGAAUUUCAAAUUAAUUCUAGCGUUAAACUAGAAAUCUUUUUUUUUUUUUUUGAGACACAGUCUUCCUAUGGCAACCAGUCUGGAGUGCAGUGGUGCAAUCUCAGCUCACUACAACCUCUGCCUUCCAGAUUCAAGUGAUUCUCCUGCCUCAGCCUCCCGAGUACCCGGGAUUACAGAUGUGCACCACCAUGCCUGGCUAAUUUUUGUCUUUUUAGUAGAGACAGUUUUUUGCCAUUUUGGCUAGGCUGGUCUUGAACUCCUGACCUCAAGUGAUCUGCCUGCCUCAGCUUCCCAAAGUGCUGGGAUUACAGGGGUGAGCCACUGUGCCCAACCUAGAAAGCUUAUUUUAUUUUAUUAUUAUAAUUAAUUUUAUUUUUUUGAGAUGGAGUCUCGCUCUGUUGCCCAGGCUGGAGUGCAGUGGCGCAAUCUCUGCUCACUGCAAGCUCCACCUCCCAGGUUCACGCCAUUCUCCUCCCUCAGCCUCCUGAGUAGCUGUGACUACAGGCGCCCGCCACCACACCUGGCUAAUUUUUUGUAUUUUUCAUGGAGACAGGGUUUCACCAUGUUAGCCAGGAUGGUCUCAAUUUCCUGACCUCGUGAUCCACCCGCCGUGGCCUCCCAAAGUGCUGGGAUUACAGGCGUGAGCCACCGCGCCUGGCCUAUAAUUAAUUUUUUUGAGAUGGAGUCUUACUCUGUCUCCCAGGCUGGAGUACAGUGGCACAUCUUGGACCCCUGCAACCUCUGCCUCCUGGGUUCAAGCAGUUCUCUCUACCUCAGCCUCUCCAGUAGCUGGGAUUACAGGUGCCCACCACCAUGCCCAGCUAAUUUUUGUAUUUUUAGUAGAGAUGGGGUUUCACCAUGUUGGCCAGGCUGGUCUCGAACCCCUGACCUCAGGUGAUACGCCCGCCUCGGCCUCCCAAAGUGUGAGAUUACAGGCAUCAGCCACUGCACCCGGCCAGAAAGCUUAUUUUAAAAGAUUCACAGGCUGCUCCCUAGAAUACUGAAGAAGAAACUCUAGGAGUGAGACCCAACAAUCUGUAUUUAACAAGUCCCCAGGCCCCUGGAUCCUCCUGGAAUCCCCGAUCCCUCUUGCUCCCUGGCAGAGUUUUCUAGUCCCUCUUACUUGAAGCAUGUCUUUCAGAGCCCGGCACCACCCAUCUUGAGUAUCUGGUGAGUUCUGUGGUCUGCAUGUCCAUGUUUGGGACAUUCUGGGAAGGGUGGCCCAGGCUGUGAUUUGCCAUCUACUGCAGGCUAUGGAUGGUAUUCAGAAGGGAGGGGAGAUGCUGUGUGCGUGUUCUGAAGGGUUUCCCACUAAACAGAUCAACCCUCUCCAUAACUAUUUGAUUUUUACUUUAUCUCCUCGUUGACUUCACAGUGUCAGUGCAGUUUGUGUAAACAUCUCUAUGGGGUGAUGCAUGCAGAUAAAUGUUUAUGUGAACAUAUAAAGUCUGCAUGUGUGGGUGAACACUCCACAUCAGGUCAUUGUCCAUCAUUACAUAUCUGUGGUGUCUGGCUCAUUCGUCUCGUUUUCUGUCAUUUUACCUACUUUUACCUGAAGUACAAUGACUAUUUAAUAACUAUUAAAUGUUUCAUUUCAGCUACACCUCUAUGGUAUUUUUUUCACCUCAUAUCAUACCUUCCUCCCUCACUGGACUUCAGUGUGGGACCUGCAGGUCUCAGGCCUUCUGGGAAGUCCCAGCUUUUCUUGAAUGUUUUCUCUCUCUGGCCAGCUCAGGCUGGAGCAGUGGGUGUUGGUGCCAUCCUGUGGCUAUAGGUGAUAAGCCGGCUGUUCUUCACUGACCUGGUCUUACCUUGAACCCUGGAGUUCUCACAUGCAUGGAUUUAAAUGCUGUGUCUUUCUAAGGGCACAUUAUGGCCAUUUUCCUUAUCUCCCUCCCAAGGGGCUGUUUGCUGUGUUUAUUGACUCCCUGUUUAAAAAACAUAUAUAUAUAUAUAUAUAUAGACGAAUUAGGUUGUACCCCAUAAAUUGCAUGUUUGAAAAAUAUUUCAAAGAAUAGUUUAUUUUUUUUUGCUGAUUUUUAUGUAUCUUCUAAAUUGUAUAUAUUUAUGGGGUAUAAAAUGAUGUUGUGAUUUUUCAAUACAGUGUGGAAUGAGAAUCAAAUUAACCUAUCCGUUACCUCAAGUACUUGACUUUUUUUGUGAUGAGAAGGCUGUUUAUCACUUUCACUCACCAGCUCCUGCUGUCUUCCAUGCUGGGGACAGGAAAGGCUCCACGCUUGACUUUCCCUCCUGUUUUCUUAUCUGCUGUCAACCCCUGAAUGUACCCUCCAGGAUUGCCUUCUAGACCUUCUACAUCUAGCUCGAUCAUUGUGCACCCACCUUCCUCCCAGGGACUGUCCUUAGGGAGUGACUUUAUGCACAAACUUCACAUGCUCUUCCUGCCUCCUUCAUCCCCAUAAGCCCCCAUCUCAGCCCCAUCUGAUUAUUUCUUCCCUGUCUCAUUUCCUGUUAUGCUGUUGGUUUUCUAACCUGAAGGGUAACUUCUUACUCCUUAGUUUUUUGCCUUAAUUUCUAAGUCAUAGGCUACUUUCAGGCUAAAAGUUUUCCUCCAGCCAUGGUUUUAGUCUCAUUCUAUAAGUCUUGCUAGGUAGUUUAUUCAUUGGAAAUUUUUUGUUUUUGAGACAGAGUCUCGCUCUGUCACCCAGGCUGUAGUACAGUGGUGCCAUCUCAGCUCACUGCAACCUCCGGUUCCCGGGCUCAAGCAGUUCUCUUUCCUCAGCCUCCUGAGUAGCUGGGAUUAUGGGUGCCUGCCACCACACCCAGCUAAUUUUUGUAUUUUUAGUAGAGACGGCAUUUCACCAUGUCAGCCAGGUUGGUCUCGAACUCUUGACCUCAAGUGAUCCGCCCACCUUGGCCUCCCAAAAUACUGGGAUUACAGGGGUGAGUCACCACACCCCACCCCUUGGCACUAUAUUUAAGUGAUGAUAUUUUUGGACACUGAGGUAGCCUCAUUCCACAGGUUUAGAUCUGAAGCAUUUUCACUAUUGCUUCUUUCCAUGUAUUUCCUGGUUUGCAGGUCAGUUUCUUCUUUUAAUUCAUCAUUGACACAGUGGUUUAUAUGGCUUUUAAUUUCAAAAGAUUUUUUAAAAUAUCUUUUUGCCGAUUUUUAUCUAUGUUAAUUUUAACUAGACAUGUUCCCUGGAAGGACAUCACUAGUUUUUUUUUUUUUUUUUUCACUCUGUUUAUAAUUUAGGUGGAUUUUCACAUCUCAAGCCAGCUAAGAGUAUGGGAAAUAGGACUCGUUAAAGCACAGAUAUCACACAAGUGAUUCAGAUUCACGAGGGUAAUCCAGAUGAAGGUAUAUCAUUGUACCUGGCCCGCAUCACUCAGUAACUGUCACCUUUGAUUUAUUGAUUUACUUGAGAUGGAGUUUGGUUCUGUCCCCGAGGCCGGAGUGCAAUGGCGUGAUCUCUGCUCACUACAACCUCUGCCUCCCAGGUUCAGAGUGAUUCUCCUGCCUCAGCCUCUUUAGCUGGGAUUACAGGCACCCACCAACAUGCCCAGCUAAUUUUUGUAUUUUUAGUAGAGAGGAGCUUUCACCAUAAUGGCCAGGCUGGUCUUGAACCUCAAAUGAUCUGCCCACCUUGGCCUCCCAAAGUGCUAGGAUUACAGGCUGGAGCUACAGAGCCCAGCCUGUCACCUUGAUUUAAAUGAAUGCAGCUUUCUUGGUGUCUUGAUGUUUGUGAAUUUCUGUGGAGUUUGAUACUGCUCCUUUUGCUGCUUGUUUUUCCAGAGUCCCCUUAUCACUUGACGUGCUGUUAUAUUAUGUUUGAUUUAUUACAGAUACCCCAUCAGCCUGAGUCUCUUAAAGGCCUUUAUACACAUAUGUCUACACAUAGGGAUUUGGAUGAUCUCGGGAUCCCACAUCCUCGCUGUCCCCUGUCCCCCCGCAACAUCCCCCACCAAUACCUUUCUGAAGUUUUCUAGUCCCUCCUUUUUGUUUGUGCUCCUUAAAGCCCAGCCCCAUGCCUGACUUUGGUUCCCAGUGAGCAUUGUACAUUUGUGGAUAUUAAAUCUUUGGCAAAGUCAUUUACCUGGGCUGGAAUAGGGCUCUUGGCUGAUUCUUUUUCCUAAACACCCACCCAAUGGGAGAGGCUGAUACUCAACAUGCAAACCUUGUGUUUUAUUUCUCCAGGCGAAGGGAUGUUGGAAGACAUUCUGGAAGGGGUGGGGUGUGAAGAUUUACAAAUAAUCUUUGAAUAUCUGCUUCAUGAUAGGUCUUGGAGGUGCCUUGUGGGUGUGGCUUUGGGGGGAUGGUUACGAGGAAAUUGUGGAUAUUAAGGAAGUCAGGAAAGGAAAAGAUCAGUCACAAUUCAACAAUUCAGAGAAAGCUCCUAAGGGACUUUCUGGCUGCUUGAUGCCCAGAGGCCAGGCCCUCACUUCGUAUUAAGGCUCAGGACUGUGGAUAGAGAAUUUAAAGGGGCACCAAAAAAAACAUUAAAAUAGAUAAACAUAUUUUUAAUGGAAUACCUUUAAAAAUGCAAAUCAAUGCACAAAGAAAACGCCCA